GAUGAACGCUCGCGGGAGGCCUAACACAUGCAAGCCGAGCGGUAUCGUUUCUUCGGAUAUGAGUGAGCGGCGUACGGGUGCGUAACACGUGUGCAACCUGCCUUUAUCUGGGGGAUAGCCUUUCGAAAGGAAGAUUAAUACUCCAUAAUCUAUUGAACGGCAUCGUUUAAUAUCGAAAGAUCUUGCGACUAGGGACGAUCACGCGCAAGAUUAGCUAGUUGGUUAGGUAACGGCUUACCAAGGCGAUGAUCCUUCGGGGGCCUGAGAGGGUGAUCCCCCACACUGGUACUGAGACACGGACCAGACUCCUACGGGAGGCAGCAGUGAGGAAUACUGGGCAAUGGGUGCAAGCCUGAACCAGCCAUCCCGCGUGAAGGACGACUGCCCUAUGGGUUGUAAACUUCUUUUGUAUAGGGAUAAACCUACCCUCGAGAGGGUAGCUGAAGGUACUAUACGAAUAAGCACCGGCUAACUCCGUG
rnacentral:rRNA from 1 species